rnacentral:piRNA from 1 species
UGGAACGAGCACAUCCUGCCUUGGUUAUAA